AUUUAAACUGACCAAUAUCAAGUGAUGAAACAGAAGAUGCCAUCAGAAGCCUACCAACCAAGAAAAGCCCAGGAUGGGAUGCAUACACAGUCGAGUUCUACAAAACCUUUAAAGAAGAACUAAUACCAAUUUAUUUCAGGAAAUAGAAAAAGAGGCAGUACUUCCAAAAUUAUUCUAUGAGGCCAAUAUCACCCUGAUUCCAAAACCAGGCAAAGAUACAUCAAAGAAAGAAACUUCAGACCAAUAUCUCUGAUGAACAUAGAUACAAAAAUUCUCAAUAAAAUUCUGGCAAAUCAAAUACAAAAAGAUCAUGCACCAUGAUCAACUGGGAUUCAUCCCAGGAAUGUAAGGUUGGUUCAACAUAAGGAAAUCAAUAAAUGUAAUUCAUCACAUCAAUAGACUUAAGAUAAGAAUCAUAUGAUCAUCUCAAUAGAUGCAGAAAAAAGCAUUUGACAAAAUACAGCACCCCUUCCUGUUCAAAACACUAGAAAAUCUAGGGAUAACAGGAACAUAUUUCAACAUCAUAAAGGCUAUAUAAGCCCCAGGUCAACAUCAUUCUAAAUGGAGAAAAAUUGAAGGCAUUCCCUCUAAAAACUGGAACAAGACAGGGAUGCUCUCUUUCACCACUCCUAUUUAAUAUAGUUCUAGAAAUACUGCCAGAGCAAUUAGACAGAAGAAAGAAAUUAAAGACAUACGUAUAGGAAAAGAACUUAAAUUAGCACUAUUUGCUGACAAUAUGAUUCUAUACCUAGAAGACCCAAAAGGCUCCACCAGAAAACUUCUAGAACUAAUAAAUGAAUUCAGCAAAGUAGCAGGAUAUAAAAUCAGCACCCAUAAAUGAAUUUCUGCAGAUCAGUGACAAAUCCUCUGAGAGGGAGAUGCGAAAAACUACCCCGUUUACAGUAGCCUCAAAAAAUUAAUAAAUAAAAUAAAUACUUGAGAAUCAACUUAAUGAAAGAGGUGAAAGAUCUAUACAAUGAAAACUAUAGAACUCUAAAGAAAGAAAUUAAAGAAUACCUUAGAAGAUGGAAAGAUCUACCUUGCUCUUGGAUAGGCAGAACUCAUAUUAUCAAAAUGACCAUACUACCGAAAGCACUAUACAGAUUUAAUGCAAUUCUGAUCAAAAUCCCAAUGGCAUUUCUAAUAGAAAUAGAAAAAGCAAUCAUGAAAUUCAUCUGGAAAAAUAAGAAACCCAGAAUAGCUAAAGCAAUCCUUAGCAGGAAGAAUGAAGCAGGUGGCAUCACUAUACCAGACCUUAAACUAUACUACAAAGCAAUAGCUGUUAACUGUUUUUGUUAAAAACAGCAUGGUAUUGGCACCAAAACAGACUAGUAGACCAACGGUACAGAAUAGAGGACACAGAGACUAACCCACAAAAUUAUAAUUAUCUUAUAUUAGACAAAGGUGCCAAAAACAUGCACUGGAGAAAAGAUAGUGUCUUCAUCAAAUGGUGCUGGGAAAACUGGAAAUCCAUACGCAAAAAAUGAAACUAAACCCCUCUCUCUCACCAUGCACAAAACUCAACUCAAAGUGGAUCAAGGACCUAGGAAUUAAACCAGAGACCCUGCGUCUAAUAGAAGAAAAAGGAGGCCCUAAUCUUCAUCAUGUGGGAUUAGGCCUCAACUUCCUUAAUAAGACUUCUAUAGUGCAAAAAGUAAAACCAAGAAUCAAUAAAUGAAAUGGACUCAAACUAAAAUGUUUCUUCUCAGCAAAAGAAACAAUCUGUGAGGUGAAGAGAGCACCUACAUCUUGGGAGCAAAUUUUUGCCCCUUACACAUCAGCUAUAGCAUUAAUCUCUAGGGUAUAUAAAGAACUCUAAAAGCUAGGCACCAAAAAAAACAAAUAACCCAAUCAAUAAAUGGGCCAAGGACAUGAACAGAUAUUUCUCAGAAGAGGAUACACAAUCAAUCAACAAAUAUAUGAAAAAUUGUUCAUCAUCUCUAGCAAUUAGAGAAAUGCAAGUCAAAACUACUCUAAGAUAGCAUCUCACUUCAGUUAGAAUGGCAGCUAUUAUGAAGACAAACAAUAAUAAGUGUUGGCGAGGAUAUGGAGAAAAAGGCACACUCAUACAUUGCUGGUGAGACUGCAAAUUGGUGCAACCAAUAUGGAAAGUAGUAUGGAAAUUCCUUAGAAAACUGGGAAUGGAACCACCAUUUGACCCAGAUAUCCCUCUCCUCGGUCUAUACUAAAAGGACUUAAAAACAGCAUACUACAGGGACACAGCCACAUCAAUGCUUACAGCAGCACAAUUCACAAUAGCUAAACUGUGGAACCAACCUAGAUGCCCUUCAGUAGAUGGAGUAAAAAAUGUGGCAUAUAUACACAAUGAAAUACUACUCAGCAAUAAAAGAGAAUAAAAUCAUGGCAUUUGCUGGUAAAUGGAUGGCACUGGAGAAGAUAAUGCUAAGUGAAGUUAGCCAAUUCCCCCCACCCCACCCCCAAAUAAAUGCUGACUUUUUCUCUGAUACAAGGUCACUGACUCAUAGUGGAGUAGGGAGGGGGAGCAUGGGAGGAAUUGACAAACUCUAG
rnacentral:lncRNA from 1 species